rnacentral:tRNA from 1 species
GGGAGUAUAGCUCAGUGGUAGAGUGCAUACCUAGCAUGCACGAGGUCCUGGGUUCAAUCCCCAGUACCUCCA